GAAGCUGGAAUUGCUAGUAAUGGCAGGUCAGCAUACUGCCGUGAAUACGUUCCCGGGCCUUGUACACACCGCCCGUCACACCAUGAGAGUUGGAAAUACCCGAAGCCUGUGAGCUAACUUAAAGAGGCAGCAGUCGAAGGUAGAGCCAAUGAUUGGGGUGAAGUCGUAACAAGGUAGC
rnacentral:rRNA from 1 species